rnacentral:rRNA from 1 species
UACGGGGGGAGCAAGCGUUGUUCGGAUUUACUGGGCGUAAAGGGCGCGUAGGCGGUCGUGACAAGUCACUUGUGAAAUCUCCGGGCUUAACUCGGAACGGUCAAGUGAUACUGUCGGACUAGAGUACAGAAGGGGCAACUGGAAUUCUCGGUGUAGCGGUGAAAUGCGUAGAUAUCGAGAGGAACGCCUGCGGCGAAGGCGGGUUGCUGGGCUGAUACUGACGCUGAGGCGCGAAAGCCAGGGGAGCGAACGGG